rnacentral:rRNA from 1 species
AGUGAACGCUGGCGGUAGGCCUAACACAUGCAAGUCGAACGGCAGCACAGUAAGAGCUUGCUCUUACGGGUGGCGAGUGGCGGACGGGUGAGUAAUACAUCGGAAUCUACUUUUUCGUGGGGGAUAACGUAGGGAAACUUACGCUAAUACCGCAUACGACCUACGUGUGAAAGCAGGGGAUCUUCGUACCUUGCGCGAUUGAAUGAGCCGAUGUCGGAUUAGCUAGUUGGCGGGGUAAAGGCCCACCAAGCCGACGAACCGUAGCUGGUCGGAGAGGAUGAUCAGCCACACUGGAACUGAGACACGGUCCAGACUCCUACGGGAGGCAGCGGUGGGGAAUAUUGGACAAUGGGCGCAAGCCUGAUCCAGCAAUACUGCGUGGGUGAAGAAGGCCUUCGGGUGGUAAAGCCCUUUUGUUGGGAAAGAAAAGCAGCAGGUUAAUACCCCGCUGUUCUGACGGUACCCAAAGAGUAAGCACCGGCUAACUUCGUG